rnacentral:rRNA from 1 species
UAGGGAAUAUUAGUAAUGGGCGAAAGCCUGAACUAGCAACACCGCGUGUGCGAAGAAGGCCUUCGGGUUGUAAAGCACUUUUUGAGAGGAUGAGGAAGGACGGUACUCUCAGAAUAAGUCUCGGCUAACUACGUGCCAGCAGCCGCGGUAACACGUAGGAGGCGAACGUUAUCCGGAUUUACUGGGCGUAAAGCGCGUGUAGGUGGUUUGGUAAGUAGAGCGUGAAAGCUCCUGGCUUAACUGGGGGGGGUCGUUCAAAACUACAGAACUAGAGGAUGGUAGAGGGAGGUGGAAUUCCAGGUGUAGCGGUGGAAUGCGCAGAUAUCUGGAGGAACACCAGUGGCGAAGGCGGCCUCCUGGACCAUUCCUGACACUCAGACGCGAAAGCUAGGGUAGCAAACG